rnacentral:lncRNA from 1 species
GAUUUAGGGCUUGCAUUAGGUCCCAAAGAGUUUUGCAUGUUUUGAGGUUUUUAUCAGGUGCUUUGGGAGUCAUUUGGAGCUUAAGAAGAGGAGCAGAGAAGAAGACGGUGAAGAAAACGGUCAAAACCGGUGAAAACCGCUUGGAGGAAUUUCUCGGUCAAAAUCCUUACCGAUCGCUCAUUACCGGCCAAAAUCCUUACCGAUCGCUCAUUACCGGCCAAAAUCCUUACCGAUCGUCCAACCUCGACCAAAAAGCUUACCGAUCGUUCAGCACCGACCAAAGUCCGUACCGAUCGACCAAAGUCAGCCUGGGUCGAAGAUCAGGCGUUAAUACCGCGAGUUGAGUUUUGGCCAAGGCGAAAGGAUUUUUACGACCAAAAAGCUUACCGCGGUACACAGCCCUCGGCCAUUUUCCUUACCGCGGGAAGCUUUUCUCGACCAAAAUCUGUCCUUCUCUGCGCAAUUCAAAGAUAUGAAAUCCGGGGAACCUUCCGGUCCGAAUCAGUUGGCGGGGUCUUCAGCAAAGUUGGAGAUAAUCAAACAAAGAUCCCAGAACAGUUGGAAUCAUCCAAUUCGGACCAGUAGGGAGAAAGAUACAGCUUCCGGAAGAUGCACCAACAUUACGCGCAUCCGAGAACUGAACGGCGAAGUACAAAGGUCACGGCGGACGGAGCCUUUCCGGACCAAAUCAGCUUGCCCGGUCUUCAUCAAAGUUUGAGAUCUGUGAAAGACCUUUUCAGAACAGUAGGGGUCGCUCAAUUCGGACGAGUAGUUUGAAAGAGAAAGUCUCCGGAGUUCACAUCGGUCCAAACAGUUUAUUUUCCGGUGAUUUCGAUGCGGUUCAAAGAUGUGAAAUCCAGGAAGACUUCCACUACCCAAGCUCCGACGGUUUCUUCACCAAAGUUCGAGUUUAUUGAGUCACCUUGACUAGGGAACUGGUCUCAGAGCAUUUGGAGUCGUGGGUCGAAAGUUACUGCUUCCGGAAAGCGACAUGGUCGAUACGGGCCCAAAUAUGUUGCGAUACGCGCUAAGUGUUUCUUCAGGGCUCGGCAUCAUUACCUCGACAUCGGCCAAGUCAAGGCCCAUAUUUUGGAAGUAUCCUGAGCCAGGCCUCGUACUGAUACCUCGGCACGUUGGGAUCAAGGCAUGCACACGUAAGAAUGGAGCUGGAAACGAUUAAGUGUUGAACAUGCACCUCGGUGUAGCGACCUCGGCGUGCAUGCCGGACCCUGUUUGCUCAAAUCCCUCGAC